rnacentral:misc_RNA from 1 species
UACGGAGGGUGCAAGCGUUAAUCGGAAUUACUGGGCGUAAAGGGCGCGUAGGCGGCGUUCCAAGUCAGGCGUGAAAGCCCUGGGCUCAAUCUGGGGACUGCGCUUGAUACUGGAGUGCUUGAGGAUGGAAGAGGGUUGUGGAAUUCCCAGUGUAGAGGUGAAAUUCGUAGAUAUUGGGAAGAACACCGGUGGCGAAGGCGGCAACCUGGUCCAUUUCUGACGCUGAGGCGCGAUAGCGUGGGGAGCAAACAGG